rnacentral:tRNA from 1 species
GGGCCUGUAGCUCAGUCGGUCAGAGCAGCCGGCUCAUAACCGGUAGGUCCUCGGUUCAAGCCCGAGCAGGCCCA